AGUAUGCGUUUGCUUGCUUUAAAUCUCUUUGGUUUAUAAUUUAUUUGACAGUAAACCUCAGCUGGCAUUUAAUACCGAGAAGUCUUUGUUUUUUUUUAAAGAACUGUUCACUAUUUCCAAAAUUGCUGUUCAUUGGCAAAUAUUACGUCAGGUUACUCAUAUCAAGUGACUACUUUGAUUACUCCAAAUGAAAAUAGAACUGAGAUAGCAAUUAACUAAAAAAAAACAUCCUGAAGUGGAGCGACACAUUUAAAAGCGAGGCAAGCGUAGGCGAGGUAAAAACAAAACGAGAAAAACAGGAAAGUACGACGAGCAAAAGUGACAAUGCCCGCGCUGUACGUGCCCUGCGGAACUCCGGCUGCCCCGUGAAUGACUCCGCAUUUCUUGCCACGUAUAUAUUUACUCCUGUUGACAGGCGCGAAUGCCUGUGAGGUCGGGAAACUCAACUGUAAGGCGCACACGCACAAAAAAACAGAUGGGACACUCGAAUACUAUGACUACCGUCAACAGGAGUCUUUUCAAGAAUGCCGUAUUCAAGGAAAAAACAAAAAAAACGUCACUGUCUCCCAAACGGAGCUCAGCCGAGACCACCGAUUGGCAAAGUGGACGAUUUUUUUUUUGACGACGUCACGGCAAACAAAAUCACGGCAGAGUUUCGAGGCCAACGGCCUGAAAGAUGAUCGUGAAACGGCUUCGGGGCGCGGCGCAUCCUGAACUGGAGAAGACACUUUGCAUUUGCCGACGGAAUGUUUUCAGAGAUGAAGUGGUGAAUUGUUUGUUUCAUGUCAUAUAAAAUCAUUUUGUCUUCAUACCGUA